CAAGUCGAGCGAUUCUUUGCAGCGUAUCGCAAGGGAUAGCGGCAGACGGGUGAGUAAUACUUGGGCAAUCUGCCCUCGAGAGGGAAACAACCUGCCGAAAGGCGGGCUAAUGUCCCAUAAGACCACAGAAUGGCAUCAUUCAGGGGUCAAAGCUCCGCAAGGGGCGCUUGAGGUGGAGCCCGAGUCCUAUCAUGGUAGUUGGUGAGGUAAUGGCUUACCAAGCCUUUGACGGGUAGCCGGCCUGAAAGGGUGAUCGGCCACACUGGCACUGAGACACGGGCCAGACUCCUACGGGAGGCAGCAGUGGGGAAUUUUGGACAAUGGGGGCAACCCUGAUCCAGCGACGCCGCGUGGAGGACGAAGGUCUUCGGAUUGUAAACUCCUUUUGGAGGGGAUGAAUGUCCUGGUGAAUAGCCAGGAGUGACAGUACUCUCUGAAUAAGCCACGGCUAACUACGUGCCAGCAGCCGCGGUAAUACGUAGGUGGCAAGCGUUACUCGGAAUCACUAGGCGUAAAGCGCAGGUAGGCGGUUCGGUAAGUCUGUUGUGAAAGCUCCCGGCUCAACUGGGAGAGGCCAACGGAAACUACCGGGCUAGAGUGUGGUAGAGGAAGCUGGAAUUCCCGGUGUAGCGGUGAAAUGCGUAGAUAUCGGGAGGAAUACCUAUGGCGAAAGCAGGCUUCUGGGCCAUCACUGACGCUGAGCUGCGAAAGCUAGGGGAGCAAACAGGAUUAGAUACCCUGGUAGUCCUAGCCCUAAACGAUGCUCAUUAGGUGUGAGAGGUAUCGACCCCUUUCGCGCCGAAGUUAACGCAUUAAAUGAGCCGCCUGGGGAGUACGGCCGCAAGGUUGAAACUCAAAGGAAU
rnacentral:rRNA from 1 species